AGUGCAUACAUAAGGUGUGAUGGCAUACGGUGUAGUAAAAUGGUAUACCAUGGCCGAAGAAAAUUGAGUGUAACCAUAGCACACCUCAAAACUUAAUCCAUCAUAUUAUUAUUGUCUCGGCUCACCUCCUUUCCCAUCAAUCUAUUUCGAAGCAAACGCAUGGUAAGUCACCAUUGUUAUUUGGUUAACUGUAACACACUGAUGUUGUUGUCUUGGUAAUUUGUAGGAGAGGUCCCUUACUCCCCCGUUUCUUGAAAUCAAGAAUACUAGUCUGAAUGAGGAACCAGUCUCUGUUUUCCUUCCCGACCCGUUGUCAUCGCUUUUUCUCCCAAUCCGUUACCCACGACCUAUACGACCCGCCGUUCUCUCCCUUUGGAAAAGGAGAUGGUUCCGCGAAUCUACCUCUCAAAUCGGAUCUUCCAUUCCACUUCAGAUACUCGUAUUCAGAAACCGACCCCUCCAUUAAACCCAUCAGCUUCCGCGAAUCGCCCAAAUUCUCUCCAUUCGGCCCAUCCCGCCUGGACCGCAAGUGGACUGGUACCUCUGCCCCGGUCAAUCAUCCAGUCGACCUCAACAGAAUUCAAGAGGAGCGUAACAGGAUUCUGGGAGCCCCGCUAGAGGACCACGAGGUCUCCCAACUGGUGGAACGCUACCGUCACAGCGACUGCUCUAGACAAAUCAAUUUAGGGAAGGGUGGAGUCACUCACAACACCUUGGAUGACAUCCAUAACCAUUGGAAGAAGGCCGAAGCUGUGAGGAUUAAGUGCUUGGGUGUGCCAACUCUAGACAUGAACAAUAUUUGCUUCCAUCUUGAGGACAAAUCUGGUGGCAAAAUCAUCUACAGAAUCAUCAAUAUACUCCUCUUGUACAGAGGACGUCAUUAUGACCCCACUAAACGUCCACUCAUACCGCUAAUGCUGUGGAAGCCUUAUGCACCGAUAUAUCCUAAACUCGUCAACAAUGUCAUCCAAACCCUCACGCACCAUCAAACUAAACAAUUGAGAAAUAAGGGAUUCAACUCUCAUCCUCUCAUCAAACUCACAAGAAAUGGUGUUUAUGUGAAUGUAGUGGAGAGGGUCAGGGAGGCUUUUAAGACUGAAGAGGUUGUUAGACUGGACUGCACUCAUGUUGGUACAACUGACUGCAAAAAGAUUGGAGUCAAGCUAAGGGAUUUAGUGCCAUGUGUCCCUAUCUUGUUCAAGGAUGAACAGAUAAUCAUUUGGAGAGGAAAUUUAGAUCAAGAACAGCCUUCAGACCCAUAAUGGAGAUAGACUAGAAUUAAGAGUUGUUUUCAAGAUGGUGUGCUAUUGACAUUUUGAUUCAGUCUAUCAUAUGCACGUCUCAUAUAUACGCUCAGCAGACCUUGGCAGGAGAAUGUUACUUGACUAUAAUGCAAAGUAAUAAAUGAAGAAAUAUUGUAAAGACAUCACAUAUUCACCCAAAGAUUUGGUAAGAAUAUGUGGCGAGUCUCUCACAAACGUGUUGUUUUAAAAGAAUAAGUUUCACAAUUUUCAAUCCUCCUUAGUAAAAAAUUCUCCAAACACAUGAUAUCAUGAGUCUUUGGUUUGAGAAAGAAUCGACUUAUUUGUAUCGAAGGUCAACGGCGUCACAAGAGUGAUGAGUAAGAAACAUUUUAUUGAAGAGUAUCAACGACGUCACAAAGGCGAUGAGUAAGAAACGUUCGCGCGGUACAAGAGUUUGUGAAAGUAAGAAGAUCUUUCACUUUAGGGGAACAUUGUGGACUCACACACUUGAGGGAGAGUGUUGAGAAUGUAGCAAAUGUUUAUUGAAGAGUAUCAACGACGUCACAAAGGUGAUGAGUAAGAAACGUUUCGUGUGGUACAAGAAACAUUUCGUGCGGUACAAGAGUUUGUGAAAGUAAGAAGAUCUUUCACUUGAGGGGAACAUUGUGGACUCACACACUUGAGGGGGAGUGUUGAGAAUGUAGCAAGUGUGGGGAAUAGUCCCGCAUUGGUUGAAAAUGUGGAUAGUUAAGUUUUUAUAAGUGAGAGAACCUAUCAACCUAUCACUUUAACAAUAUUGUAAAAUGCAUAUUUUUUUUCUUAGAACAAAUGCUAAUUAAGUCUCAUAA